rnacentral:rRNA from 1 species
UACGUAGGGGGCAAGCGUUGUCCGGAUUUAUUGGGCGUAAAGAGCGUGUAGGCGGCCUGAAAGGUCAGCUGUGAAAACUCGAGGCUCAACCUCGAGACGUCGGUUGAAACCAUCUGGCUAGAGUCCGGAAGAGGAGUGUGGAAUUCCCGGUGUAGCGGUGAAAUGCGCAGAUAUCGGGAAGAACACCCGUGGCGAAGGCGGCACUCUGGGACGGUACUGACGCUGAGACGCGAAAGCGUGGGGAGUGAACAGG